rnacentral:rRNA from 1 species
AUUGAACGCUGGCGGCAGGCCUAACACAUGCAAGUCGAACGGUAACAGGGAUCAGCUUGCUGAUUCGCUGACGAGUGGCGGACGGGUGAGUAAUGUCUGGGAAACUGCCUGAUGGAGGGGGAUAACUACUGGAAACGGUAGCUAAUACCGCAUAACGUCGCAAGACCAAAGAGGGGGACCUUCGGGCCUCUUGCCAUCGGAUGUGCCCAGAUGGGAUUAGCUAGUAGGUGGGGUAACGGCUCACCUAGGCGACGAUCCCUAGCUGGUCUGAGAGGAUGACCAGCCACACUGGAACUGAGACACGGUCCAGACUCCUACGGGAGGCAGCAGUGGGGAAUAUUGCACAAUGGGCGCAAGCCUGAUGCAGCCAUGCCGCGUGUAUGAAGAAGGCCUUCGGGUUGUAAAGUACUUUAAGCGGGGAGGAAGGGAGUAAAGUUAAUACCUUUGCUCAUUGACGUUACCCGCAGAAGAAGCACCGGCUAACUCCGUG